rnacentral:rRNA from 1 species
UACAGAGGGUGCAAGCGUUAAUCGGACUGACUGGGCGUAAAGGGCGUGUAGGCGGUUAAUUAAGUCAGAUGUGAAAUGGCAGGGCUUAACCUUGUCAGGUCAUUUGAUACUGGUUGACUAGAGGUUAGGAGAGGGAAGUGGAAUUUCCGGUGUAGCGGUGAAAUGCGUAGAUAUCGGAAGGAACAUCAGUGGCGAAGGCGACUUCCUGGCCUAAAACUGACGCUGAGGCGCGAAAGCGUGGGGAGCAAACAGG